CAGAAAGAAUCAGGGAAAGGAUUGUGUCUGGCUAGAGGAGCUGCCGUCUCCAUGUGAAGGUUAGGAUGUUCAUCAGGGGAGGGAGAGCUCCCUUAGCCUCUGCUUGAAGUAAAAAAGAAGGAAUGGAAGGAUUAAAUGGUGGUGAAGGUGGGGGAGAGAUCUUCUUCCUUCCGGGGGCCUAGGGAAGAAUGCAAAGAGAGAGGAAGAGAGAGAAAGCAUCGAUGGUUACGGCUGCUUUGCUGAACAAGCGCACUGAGGCCAAGACUUGCUAGAGCUAAGCAAGCCCCGUGCUCCAAGCAGUAUCCCUUGGAUUCUGUCUCUAACCUCACCCCUCCUCCUCACAAGAGAGAAAGAAGACUAAAAGAAAAUCAGCAACUUACUGAAGGUACCACCUGGAGCGCAGAACAGCUGGCUCUUCAGAGGCCCCACCAGCAGGAAGCACCUCACCAAAUGGAGCUGUCUGGUCUUAAACUUCCCAACCUUCCAACCUGUGUGCUGAAGAACAGUGUUUUCCCUGUAAGGUACUCAGCCUGUGGCAUUCAGUCACACCGACAGAAGAUGGCCGAAGAUGCCGCCCGUUAGUAGCGGAUCAGUGUCAGGAUUACUACUGAAGGAGUGCCUGCUCCUUAUGAAGCUUCCCUUCAAAUAUAGAAGGAAGAACGAGGGGACACAUCUUUCUUUGGGUACUGUGUCUUUUAGGCCUCCAAAGCACUCUUUCUCCAAAUGACUCUGCUACACGCCAUGUGUAGGGGAACUUUACUGAGUACCUGGUAUGUCUGGCUCUACCAACAGUUCCUACCAUGGUCAGUAUUAUUCCCAUUUUAAUGUAAGAAAAUGUCAUUGUAUCUUGCCCAGGUGACAGGUCCAUCAAUGACAAAGCUGGGAUCUGAAAACAGAUCUCACUGGGGUACCAUUGUUGUCCCUUGUCCACAAUGCUGAGUGAUCUUGUCACCAAUAUAUCCCUGAUAUGUUCUUAUUUGUCCAGUCAGAGAUUCAGGUCAGUAUUUCUAGGCAAAAUCUGCCUGUAGACGUAAGUCACACAGACAACACAUUCUUCUAUGACUGCUAGUAAGAAGCACUAAUACAUGCUUUAACUCACUCACCUUCACUGAACAACAAGCCCCCAGAGAAUCAUGUUUGAUUACAAUUUAAAACAACAUUUUACGUUAGGGCCACAGGCUAAGAGCAUUUGCUGCUCUUGCAGAAGACCUCGAUUCAGAUCGCAGCACCCAGAACCCAGAUGGUGGUUCACAGUAAUCUAUAAAUCCAGUUCCAGGGGAUCUGAUGCCUUCUUCUGGUUGCCUUGGGUACUGCAUGCAUGUGGUGUACAUAGAAUCACACAGGUUCACAUAUAUACAUAUAGAGAAUGGGGAUGCCCCUUCAUUCUCUGAGGGAUACCUCUCAUUUCCCUCUCAACUCUGUGACCAGAACCCCACAGACUUUGUCGACACCUUCAGAUGAGAUUGGAAUUGUCAUCAUGUCUCUUUCACAGAGUGUUGUACCCAGCAGAACCCCAUUGUGCAGGGUUCCUGGUGCUGACAGGCACAGGCUUUGCAUAAAGUAGGAGCCUGAGGAA